UGGGGAAUAUUGGACAAUGGGCGCAAGCCUGAUCCAGCCAUGCCGCGUGGAUGAUGAAGGCCCUAGGGUUGUAAAGUCCUUUUAACGGGGAAGAUAAUGACGGUACCCGUAGAAUAAGCCCCGGCUAACUUCGUGCCAGCAGCCGCGGUAAUACGAAGGGGGCUAGCGUUGCUCGGAAUUACUGGGCGUAAAGCGCACGUAGGCGGCUUUCUAAGUCGGGGGUGAAAUCCUGGAGCUCAACUCCAGAACUGCCUUCGAUACUGGAGAGCUCGAGUUCGGGAGAGGUGAGUGGAACUGCGAGUGUAGAGGUGAAAUUCGUAGAUAUUCGCAAGAACACCAGUGGCGAAGGCGGCUCACUGGCCCGAUACUGACGCUGAGGUGCGAAAGCGUGGGGAGCAAACA
rnacentral:rRNA from 1 species